CCCACUGGCACAAGCCUGGGAUCCCAGGCUCGUGGUGGAGGAAGGACCUCACUUGCCAACGGUCCGUCAGAACCUUCCACAGCAACACCGAGCUAGGAAAACAAAACCGGGCAAAGAGAGAGAAGGCCGGGAGAAGGACAAAAUAAGGCAGAGGUGCCUCUGAAACUCUGUCUUCAAGACAAACCAAAAGAAGACAAGGAAACAAGUUCUUGGGUUUUUAAGAAGGUGCGGUAAGCCAAGGGGAUUAAUUGGACGACCCGCAUCUGCUUCUCAAGCUCCAUUUCCUACUACCUCAUUCACCUGGGCGGGCCCAUGACUUCAGCUGGUAUCUGCUCCACAAGUUUCUCCCCAAAGUCUGAGUAAUGAAAGAGGACCCCCAAAUCCUAGUCUGGGAUACUGGAAAGAGUAUGAAUUCUCAAAACGAACAAUGACACAGAUGUGAAAAUAAGCAGACAAGAUUGAAAUCUGCAGCAGCGUUAUUCCCAACAGCCAGAAGAUGAAAACCCUGGGUGUGGACAGGUGAAGUGCCCUGUGGAAAGCCACAGAGGGAGUGAUGAGCGGUGCCCGGACUUGAAGCCACGACAGCAUAGCACCUGGGCAAGAAAUUUAAUCCACACUUACUAAACAACUGGGCCUCCGGAACGAGUUGCCAUUUACCUACAGGACAGCGAGGCGCUCACCAGGACUGCCUCGUGAAGGCCCCUCCUGCUCCUGGCAGCCCUGGGAAUGGGAAGCCUGGUAAAGGCAGAGGCUGGAAUGUCUAAUCCGGUGUCAGACUGAGGAGGGGCCUCCAAGACUCCAGGGUCCCUUCCCUCCCCCUGCCUCCAGCCAACACUCGCCACCCCUGAUUGGGAUGGCAGCUCGGCGGCCCUUCAGCCUCUAUUGGAAUAUUCUCCAAGGACUCACCACCCACAGGCACCCCCUCCUUCUAUCACUAUGCUGUGGCUUCUGAUGAAACACUAGGUCUGGAAAAUGAAAUCUCAUCUCACUCUCUGGAAAUCCUGGAAACUUCUGGAAACCUGCCCAGGUCUUCAUCCUUAAGAAUUCUUAAGUAUAAUGCACAGGAGGAGAAUGCCAAGGAGUGGAGCUGUACACAGGAAGGAGAGAGCAGUACGGGUCACGGCAGUAUGGCGGAGCCACAGUUGCAGCAGAUGCAAGGGCCAGUCGCAGGCAGCAAGAGACCAGAAGCGGAGAGAGGUGGAGGGCCAUAAAGGGAUGCUGAAAGGCCAAAUGAGGUAACAGAAGGGCGAGUUGUUUGAAAGACCAGCAACUGCAGACAAGUGGAAGGAAGCAUGACAUUUGUGAUCACUCACUGGCCACCAGUCAGUAGGGAGUGCUGGUCCACCCAUGCGGGCAUCACGCUCUGUGAAUCUCCUUCCCACCUGUCCUUCCUCCUGCCCUCUCUGGGGCUCCUGUCCAGUCCACCCCACCCUGGCACGUGCAAGUUCUUCUGCAGCUGCCUUUUUUGGAUAGUAACCCCUGCUCUACUUCAUCAGGGCAAGAUCCCAAACCUCAUUUCUCAUGGCAUCCCUUUUGCAGAAGCUGACCUUUCCCCAGAAAAGUCUCACUUCCCUGGGGUCAUCACCAUCACUCCAAGAGCCAGCAACUUCUCCCAGUCGCAGUGGAUUCAAAGGGCACAGUUGGAGACAUCCCCCUUCAGGGAACAGAGGAUCUCAUCCACUGCUGACUGAGGAAGGGCCAGCAGCGAGUUGGCUCUAAUGCCACCUGCUCAGCCUCUCUCCCCACCCCUUGGCUGAUUCCCUAUAACGGUGUGUCCAGAUGCCCAUCCCUGUCUCUAAGCUCCUAUUCCUACUCACCCUCCCUUUCGGUAAUAACAAAGUUCUUUCCUGUCCUGGAGAAGGCUGCUGGAAUCCAAAAGAUCUCGCUCUGUGCUUGGAGUCAGACCUGGGCUCACCACUUACAGGUGUGUGGUCUGAGGAAAUUAGUUAAGUGUGGAGCAGGUGUAAAGUAUUGGGCUGGGAGCCCCGAAAGGAUCACCAAACAUCGCUUUUCAGAGCCCCUCUUGGCCCCUCUUCCCUUCUCUUAAUCUCUAAGUCCUUGUCUGCAUAAUGAGGACAGCAAGAUCUACCCAAUAAUGAGCCUCAUAUCAUAAUUCAGAUGCAAAACAAGAAGGUCAACAUGAAAGCACUUUGUAAACCUUAUGCCUUGCUAACCAAAAUGUGGUCCGGCAGCAGCAGCUUCCCCUGGGAGCGUGCUGGAAAUACAGACCGUCAGGCCCCAGCCAGCCCUACUGAGUCAGAACUCGUAGUAUAAUAAGAUCCCCAGGGGAUUCAUCUGCACAUUAGAGUCUGAGAAAUGUGAAGAAAAGAACUAGGAAAAUACAUGACAUUACAUAUUAUUAUUAUUUUCAAUUUCUCCAUCAGCCCUCUCUUCUUCUCCACCUCCACCAAAAAUACUGCCCCCUCCCCUAAGCCCAAAGUGGUUAUUCUUAAACAGCUGGCACAUUAGAAUCUCCCAGACCCACCUGGGUUGAACCCCAGGCCAGUUGGAGAAAGGUCCAAAUCAGUAUUUUUUUUUUUAAGAUUUAUUUAUUUAUUUAUGAUAGACAUAGAGAGGCAGAGACACAGGAGGAGUGAGAAGCAGGCUCCAUGCAGGGAGCCCGACGUGGGACUCGAUCCCGGGACUCCAGGAUUCCUCCCUGGGCCAAAGGCAGGCACUAAACCACUGAGCCACCCAGGGAUCCCCAAAUCAGUAUAUUUUUAAAUUCCCCAGGUGACUGAUGCAGGACUGGGGGUGAAACUCCCACAAGCCACCCACACUGCUGUUCCAUGGCCUCCACUGUGUCAUCUCCUGGGGAGCUUUGCUGCCAUUCUGUUUGCCUGACCUCUUCUCCUCAGAACUGUACCUCUCUGCCCCUCCACCCACUGCCCAGGCCCCACCUCACCCCCUGAGCUCCCCUUGCCAUGCCCAGUGCCUUGCUUGCUUUUCCCUUUGGCUCCAUCACCGUGCCCUGUAGCUUUCACUUCACCAGAGUUUAAAAUACUCACUGACGUGGAUGUUUAACCUUACACGUGGACAAAGCCCCCCAGCAGGAUGCAAAGUCUGCCCUUGAUCCGAUCCUCCUUCCACCUAUCACUCCACCCUGCUCUCUUUACUAGCCAAUUCCACAAACUCAAGGUCUCCACCUGCAGCCUCCAUCUUCCUCAAAAGUGUGACACCCCACUCCAAGUCAGAAAGCCUCUCUGCCACCUUGCCACCUCCCUGAGGCAGUCUCGCAGGGCAGCCUAUAGGCUACACUGAAGAACUCUGGCAAGAAAUGGUUUGUUGUUAAGAGUUCAUUGCUAUUGGGUAAACAAGGGAGGAUUCUUCAAGGGACUUCCAGUAUCCAUGAAACAAUAGAUCAAAGAGGAGCCCAAAUAUGCCAAGGGAGGCCAAAAAAAGAAGAAAGGGUUGGUUGUGUCCCACCUGGGAAACACCUGCCCUAGGAGUAGGGAUCUGAAGGGACCUUUCUCUUUCCAUAGCAAAGGAGCUAGAAGGGGACCCUGUCUGGACCUGAAGCACAAGCCAGACAGAGAAAAGCAUACUUUCUUUUCUAGGGAACAUGGAGUAAAGCCCAUGGACUGGCCUCUGGAGCUGAACAAAGGAGUUAGGAACUCGUUGCUCUCAGACUCAUUGCCGAGUCCAGACAAAGCUGUACGGACAAUCGCCGCCCUGUGUUGUACCCUCACACACACAUACCUGCAGCCUGCAGGUGGUGUUGAAUUCGAGAAGCCAGACUUGAAAAUAAACCAUUGUCCACUCCUCGUAAGCCCUUCAAUUAUUCACUCAUCAAAUCUGUGAUCAAUGCCUUCUCUGUGCUCAUUGAGAGAAACACACACAGUCACAACACAGCCCCUGAUCUGAGGACCCAAAAUCUUAAGAGGAAGAGCAAAACAAACAGAUUACAAAGUGAUGCCAGUGAUUUAAAAAAUAAAAUAAAAUAAGUAACCAGUGUUGUGAGACACCGGGGAGGGACCCAUCUGUGGGGUCAGGAGAUAAGGCAAGGUUUAUGGUCCUGAGGCCACCAAAGGCUCCAGGAUGAAAGCAGGGACUCCCGCCUUAGGAAAUGUGAUCUUUUUCACCUCUUUUUCGCCUUCCACGCACAGUUCACUUCCCUGAAGUUGGGAAAUGAAAGGCUACCAUUUUUUAAAUGUUUUACUUAAAUUAGUUAACAUAUACUAUAUUAUUAGUUUCAGGGGUGG